CCUACGUGAGGCAGCAGUGAGGAAUAUUGGUCAAUGGGCGCGAGCCUGAACCAGCCAAGUAGCGUGAAGGAUGACUGCCCUACGGGUUGUAAACUUCUUUUAUAAAGGAAUAAAGUGAGGCACGUGUGCCUUUUUGUAUGUACUUUAUGAAUAAGGAUCGGCUAACUCCGUGCCAGCAGACGCGGUAAUACGGAGGAUCCGAGCGUUAUACGGAUUUAUUGGGUUUAAAGGGAGAGUAGAUGGGUUGUUAAGUCAGUUGUGAAAGUUUGCGGCUCAACCGUAAAAUUGCAAUUGAUACUGGCAGUCUUGAGUACAUUUUAGGUAGGCGGAAUUCGUGGUGUAGCAGUGAAAUGCUUAGAUAUCACGAAGAACUCCGAUUGCGAAGGCAGCUUACUAAACUGCCACUGACAUUGAUGCUCAAAAGUGUGGGUAUCAAACAGGAUUAGAUACCCGGGUAGUC
rnacentral:rRNA from 1 species